GCCAGACUCCUACGGGAGGCAGCAGUGAGGAAUAUUGGUCAAUGGGCGAGAGCCUGAACCAGCCAAGUCGCGUGAGGGAAGACGGUCCUAUGGAUUGUAAACCUCUUUUGCCGGGGAGCAAAAAGCGGUACGCGUACCGCAUCGAGAGUACCCGGGGAAAAAGCAUCGGCUAACUCCGUGCCAGCAGCCGCGGUAAUACGGAGGAUGCGAGCGUUAUCCGGAUUUAUUGGGUUUAAAGGGUGCGCAGGCGGCACGGCAAGCCGGCGGUCAAAUCGCGGGGCUCAACCCCGCCCAGCCGUCGGAACUGCCGGGCUAGAGUGGGCGAGAAGUGCGCGGAAUGCGUGGUGUAGCGGUGAAAUGCAUAGAUAUCGCGCAGAACUCCGAUUGCGAAGGCAGCGUACCGGCUCCACACUGACGCUGAGGCACGAAAGCGUGGGUAUCGAACAGGAUUAGAUACCCGCGUACA
rnacentral:rRNA from 1 species